UUGUCCUCUCCUCUUUUCCCUGCAAUGAAAGCAACCCAUAACGAAUAUGACCAAAAAAAUCAAAUCGUCCCUAUUUGAUCUCCUUCUUUUAAUAGAGUUCUCCCCUCAGUUCAUCUCAUUCUCUCAAUCUCCCUCGUGGCCUCUCUGUUUCACAUUUUUUUUGGCACUGGCCACCCAAAGGCCAAAACCAAUUCCAACAGCCGUUUUUUAUGUUCGGAUUUGUUCCAUUUUCGUGACUCAGGUAACCAAAAAUCAAUCUCGUUUUGCGUUCAUAUGUGUAAUAUGUUCAUUUACUGUGAUUAGAAUAUUUAGUUUGAAUUGUUUCGAAAAAAUUGGCAAUGUUAUUUUCAAUGUAAUGAUGAAGACAAUCAAGAAUCGGACCCUAAAAAAUCUAGCUAUCAUUAAUAUUUUCACUGUAUUACACUUUUAUUUGGCUGAUCCAGUUGCCGCUCAUUUCUAGGAGUGCAAUAUUCUGUUCGUGCGUAUGUUUAUUCUCACAUAUGUGAAUCUGUUAUAGUGGAAAUCAAAAACAUAUUGCGGAAGUAAACUUGUAACAUAUGACUUUUGAUAUUUAUAUACUUCACGAGCUUUCAAUUUCAACAUCAUGACGUUUCUCUAAGCUUUAGUUCAGUGGAAGACAUUCAGACUCCCCCUCUGGUAUGAGUAUUAUACCUAUUUUUUGGUUACUUUCAUAAUUAAUAUUAACAUUAUCAGAACAGUAUUUUUAUAUACUAUAUGUAGAAAGGUUUAAAAACUUUUAUUUAAUAUUUUGUUAUAUAUGGUGCAAAAAUUACAUACUUCAAUGUGACUGCAUAGUACAUAGACGAUACUAUUUUUUAUUUUUUUAUUUUUCUAUUUUUUUCAAAUGGUAAUUCAAACAUCUUUAAACCGACACGACUAAUCUCUAAACAUCAUAUUUAUAAUCGAGAAACCACUAAGAUACUAUGUCGUUCAGAUUUGUUCGUUGAUCUUUGGUAAGUACAAUUUUGUGCGUAGAAGCUCAUAUAUCGUCUCCUUUUGUUCUGAUGAAAAAUUUUAAACUAAAAAUACAAGUUUCAAAUUGGUAACUUUGAAGAAUAUAAUUAACAUAAAAGAACUAAGUUUCGUAAUCUCCUUUUAGGAAUAUAAAAAUGGACUUUUCCUAUCCCACCCCAAACCAUGUUAGUUUCUUCGUAUUCAAAGGCCACCGGUUCUCACUAUUUUCCCACCUGAUUUUGCUCAUAUUUCUUCAUAGAUUUUUGGUAACUUCAUAUAUGUUUUUAGCAUUCAUAUCCCAUUCCUCUCGUUACCUACAAAACUCCAACACUUGAGUUGUGAGGGCCCUUAUUCCUUAGGAGCACUACGACUCAAAUUCUUGUUCUUGUUACCGAACUUAUUAAUUCUUUAAUCAAGUUCGAAUCCGCUUAGUUGAGAAAGUAAACAAGAAGGGGAGUCAAAGGGUAGUUUCACUCGUUACUUCAUAUUGUUGCUUGUAGGAUCCACCUAGCUUAUACUAAAACAAGAUUCUUCCUGAUGGUUUUCUCAAACGUUGGUAAAACAUGGUUAUCAAGUUCUUUAUGUAUAUGGUAGUUGGUGAUUACGUUCUUGAUGUAAAGGUCAAUUGGCCCUUGAUGUAAACGUUGGUAAACCAUGGAAGAAGAAUCCUUGAUGUAAAGCUAUCGGGUGUUCAUUGGUGGUACAACCAUAAUAAAAAAGUCACGCCGUUGAGCUAACUGUUGUUAUUCAACUCAAUGAAGCAUGACGGCUAUGGCCCACCUCUUGAAAAAUCAAAUAAGAAUGGAGUUGCAUCAAAAGUUGCAUUGGACAGAUCCUAGACGGAUAAUGGAAAACAAUCAUCUAAAAAUCCUGAUAUCUUGAAGGACGAAGUGAUGUAAGCGACGCUUGAUUAUAGUGAGAAGGUAUACAUUUCAACUUGGAAUGUCCCUCCUUCAAGGACGACAAAGUGGAUGCAAGUGUAAUGGAUGAGGCCCUUAGUGACGUGCAUAAAACUUCUUAUAAUACCUAUACAUAUCAAUAUAUCACGGAUUCAAUCAACUAAUCAAGCUACCACAAAAAUUUUCAACGUUUUUCAAGAAAAUGAAUGGAGAUGAGCCCAUUGAUGGUAUCUCCAAGACUAACGAUCGAUAGUUCUAGGAUCGUGUUACAUGUUACGGUAUACUAGUUUUAGGGGUUGAAUUGUACUUUUUUGUGAUAGUUAGAGGGUCCAAUGUGAAGAUGUAAUAGUUAGUUGUUAAGCAUAGCUUUCCUUAAACAAUAUAAAAGACUAAUAACAACAUUGAUCAUUUGGACUAUGCUCCUUCUUUA